UGCUUGUCUUUCCUUUUGUUGUAUAGUCAUUUGAGUUUGUUACAUAGUUUUGAUAUUAAUCCCUUGUCACAUUUAUGAUUUGCAAAUAUUUCCUUCCAUUUUUUGGUUGUCUCAUCCUGUUGAUUCUGCCCAACCAAUGUUACAGGGCUUUCAGUCUUUAUUUUUUGUAGUAGUUUCAGAGUUUUAGACCUUACAUUUAAGUAUCAAAUUUGUUUUGUGUUUUUAUUUUAUUUAAAUAUCUAAUUUAUUUAUAUAUGGUGUGAGUUGAGGGUCUUAUUAUAUUCCUCUGCACAUGGAUAUAAAGUUUUCUCAACACCAUUUAUUGAAGAUACUGCCUUUUCCCUAAGAAAUUGCCACCUUUAUUUAAAAAGCAGAUGGCUGUAAAUACAUCAGUAUAUUUUAGUCUCCUUUUUCUUCUCUACUGGCCUGUGUGUCUGUUUUUAUGCAAGUACCGUACUUUUUUUUUUUUUUUUUUACUAAAACUUUUAAUAUAUUUCAAAGUCAGGUAGUGAUACCUUCACUUUUUCUAUGGCUUGGUUGUUUUGGCUGUUCAGGUUCUCUUGUGGUACCCUAUAAAUUUUAGAUGUAGUUUUUUAAAUUUGUUAAUUAUAUCACUGGUAUUUUGAUAGAGGUUGCAUUAUAUCUGUACAUCAUUUUGUAUAAUACAGAUGUUUAACAAUAUUAGUAAUGCCAAUUUAUGAAGGAGUAAUAUUUUCCAAUUGUGUAUUAAUUUCUGUCAUUUCAUUUAGAGAUAGUUGUCAAUAUAUAGAAAUUCUACUGACACUUGGAUGUUGCUUUUGUAUUCUGCAAGUUCAAUAAAUUUGUUUAUUAGUCCUACUAAUUUUUAGUAAUGUCUUAGGCUUUUGUUUACUUAAGAUUAUGUAUAGAAAUAAAAAAUUGCAAAGGAAUAAUUUAACAAUUUUUCUAAUCUCAGCGCUUUGAUUUUAUUUUCUAAUUUUUCUGUCUUGGAUAGUUCAUACUAUGUUUAAUAAGACUGAAGAAAGUGGGCAUUUUUGUCUU
rnacentral:lncRNA from 1 species